AUUGAACGCUGGCGGCACGCCUAACACAUGCAAGUCGAACGAGUGGCGGACGGGUGAGUAAUGUCUGGGAAACUGCCUGAUGGAGGGGGAUAACUACUGGAAACGGUAGCUAAUACCGCAUACCAUCGGAUGUGCCCAGAUGGGAUUAGCUAGUAGGUGGGGUAAAGGCUCACCUAGGCGACGAUCCCUAGCUGGUCUGAGAGGAUGACCGACCAGACUGGAAAUGAGAAACGGUCAAGACGCCAACGGGAGGCAGCAGUGGGGAAUAUUGCACAAUGGGCGCAAGCCUGAUGCAGCCAUGCCGCGGGGAUGAAGAAGGCCUUCGGGUUGUAAAGUAAUUUCAGCGGGGAGGCGUUACCCGCAGAAGAAGCACCGGCUAACUCCGUGCCAGCAGCCGCGGUAAUUC
rnacentral:rRNA from 1 species